rnacentral:rRNA from 1 species
UACGUAGGGUGCAAGCGUUGUCCGGAUUUAUUGGGCGUAAAGAGUUCGUAGGCUUCUUAGUAAGUUAUGUUUCAAAGACCGGGGCUUAACCUCGGAAAGGGGCACAAUACUGCUAGGAUUGAAGAAUGUCGGGGUUACUGGAAUUGUCGGUGUAGGGGUGAAAUCCGUUGAUAUCGACAAGAACACCAAGGGCGAAGGCGGGUAACUAGGCAUUUCUUGACGCUGAGGAACGAAAGCUAGGGUAGCGAAAGGGAUUAGAUACCCCAGUA